GUAUUGUGUAAGCAAGGUCAGCACUUUCCUUAACAAGGAUAGAAGUGGUUUUUGUGACCUAUAAAACACAUACGGCUAAGGAACUGUUAAAAACUUUGUGGCACCUAACCAUAAAAUAUA